AUAGCCGUUGCCGGAGAGAGCUCUGAUUGGUGGAUUUUUGUGGCUCUUAAUGCCCCCACCACCGCGACAUCGGCGCGAUACUCUCGGCGGCUGGAGGGAUAUAACGUAUUUUCGCGCAGUGGUGCCAACUUGAUCAUUUAACUACCCCGGGGAGAACUCUGAGGAUGUGAGGACCACAGGUGCGAUGUCCCUGUACCUGAAAUGUAGAGGUGGGCACAGGAGUCGGAUCCUCCAUAAGCAUUUUUUUUAUUUGAUUCCAUUCACGCUUUUCAUCAGCCCUUUAGACUUCCUAUCCCACUGCAAAUACAUUUGCUGAAAUGACCUCGGGUGAGGUUCGAAAACCUGAAAGAGUAUCUACAAUAUCCGGUGUUGACGAAAAAAAAAUUAACUCGUCUGGAGGAUCACCUGUGCGAUAAUGACAGGUGGCAACCAAACCCCGAGCCCCCAAAACUAUUUUCGAGUAAUCCACCCUGGAUAACACAGCCUUCUAGUCGUUCUCGGGGCGCUUCAGAAAAGUCAAUAACACGUGAGUCACUCAGCAGUAUAUAGAACUAUCCUUCGUCUCUCUUUUUUUUUCAUGCAAAGUAUUGCGAAAGUGAAACGAGUGCGACUGCCUUGAGUAUUCGCGUCACGAGUCGACGGAUCAAUUUAAUUACGUGUAAUUCAAUUGAACUGCCUAGGACUAAUUUUGGGUUGUUUGGAGCUGGCAAUUCAUUAUUGAUGGACAAAAUCAAUUUAAUAGCUUCAUACUAUUGUGCGUCGCAGUGAAUUUUUCGCUGGUUGUAAAUUUUGAAAGGGUUUUAGUAACAUUUCGCGGUGAAUUCCUUGAUAUUUUGUUGAACAGGGAGUGGAGAUACUUAUGAAAUUGUAGAGAGAAACCUUUUUAUCACCUUUUUAUUCAUCUAGAACGGUCGUAGGGAUAUUUUCCCUUAGAUUAAGUUAUUUCCAAAAUGACAGCUGACUUUAAUUUUGAAAAUUCAUGAACCUCUUGUCACGUAAUCGAAUGGACAAAUUUGAAAAUAUUAAAAUCUCUCGUCCUAAAAUUGUUGAAGUUAACAUGAGCUUUUGGGAACAUAAUACAUCGAAAAAUAUAGUCCUGAUCCCCGAGUGGAAUAAAUGAUUAAAAAAUAACGAGUGCGAGAUUAAUAUUUUGAAAAACUGGAUAUCUUAUUCCAUGAUAACUCAACAACUUCAGAUUAUUAUCGCCAUUUUUCAAGUAGAUAUCAUCAUUUUCCCCAUAUUUACCCUUAGACCCAAAUUCAUUAUCUGAUUUUUCCGUAAACGAACUUCCUGUAAAGAGUUUGUAAGUUCUACUGAAUGGUUUGUAGCAUGAAAUCUAUGCACUCCAUAAUUUUUAUCACCAUUUAAUGAUUUUUUUCAACUCCCAGAAAUGACUUUCCAUUUUAUUUCACGAAUAAACGAAUUUUGAUAUUGACGUUAGAAAUCUUCUGAAGGAGACGUGCCCAGCAUAAUUUAGCUGUCCUCUGUCAAACUUUACACCCGAAAUACUUGACUCUCUCCCGUUAUAGAGACUUUAAAAAACGAAAAACAAAAACCAAAAAACCGGUGAUAUGAAUGCGAAUAAUUCGUUACCCAAAUCCCUGGAGAAGCUCAGCUUCCUGAACGGGGCAUAGCUGGAAUCAUUUAACCGUCAAAAUAUUCACCUCACGACAAUUAAAAAAAAAUUAAAUGGUCGUCCAGUCGCAUUGACUGGACUGCUGAAUUGAUGCCAGCAGUCCGAAUAAAACGAAAACCCCCACGUGGUAGACCUUGGACGGCAAAAGCAUCUUGACAACAGCGUAAGACCCACAUUGCCGUAAUCCCGAGUUUUCCAGUAAUGUGUCUCAGGGUGCCAGGCGUGGUUAGCGAACGGCAAGUAGAGCCACAGCUUCUCUCACCGUAACCAUGUAUGGAUCAGACAUUCGAGUCUGUGGAAAAGUCACUUGACCGUGUAUGAAAUAAACUUGUUCACGUGUGUUGCUAUGCCACUGGAGGACUCCGGUGCAUGCAAGGAGUGAAAUAACGGAUCCCCAGUGUGCAGCUCGAAUUGAUUCACAUUUUGCUUCGCCUUUAACAAGAAUUUGUUUCUAGAAAACUAAUUAGUCUGUCAUCACGAUUAUCUAAUACUGGAGUAAGAUGACCCGCAUUGAGUCAAUUAUCGUUUAUUUUGGAGGGAUGAACAGUGUUACGCAAUAACUUGAAUUUAUUUACAAAAAUAAGGGAUCGAUCCUGAUAAAUACCAGCGAUGUAUCCACUCCUGAAUUCUCCCCCCGUUCAGUUCAUUCAAUUUUUUUCUCCCUCACAUAAUCAAGAGAGCUUAAAAUAUCCUUAACAGUGGCUGACGUGUCCUUAUCGUUUCUUCGUGUACAUGAUACGACAAAAAAGUACUCGACUGCCACCGGAAGUCAGCUCCUUUCACGCUCCUCGUCUCAUCGUCGGGAUCGAUAAAUGCGUCGGUACAACAUCGUGUCACGUACACCGGGUUGCCCAGGGUUACUGCGCGACGUCCAUGCGUUGACCGAGCUUCAACAACCCCUCAUCCACCCCAUGAUUCCCUGAAACAGUCGGUUUUUCCCGUACAAAAUAUAAUGAAACCCCCGCGUGACUCAUUCUUGAGUUUGUCCCACAAUGGGUUACGUGUUUCACCAAAUUGGAGCGAUGAAGAUCGAUCAAUACCGUCAUCGCUUUUUAUUUCCGUUCAACAGGGAAUGUUUUUUCAUGUCGGUUUAUUCAUCGUAAAGACGCUCAUUUGAUGGUAAAUUACAUACGAUGAGUGAGUUAGGAAUCUCGAGAGUGUACUUCGUAUUGAUUCGCGUUCCUUCUCAUCUUCAAGAAGAAUUUGUCGGCGGAAAUCUAAUGAUUCUGUCAUCCGGACGAUUUAAUUUCAUAGCACAUGAUUCAAGUUGAUUUUGUUCUGAUUGAAUUUUCAAUAAUGAAAAAUUAUGAUAUAGAACAGAAUGAAGACUGCAUAUGGAAAUGUUGCCCAUGAAUUUUAAUAAUGAUUUAUUCUUUUGAGGUGACUCUUGAGGUAAAUGAUAAUUCAAUUGUUACUAUCAGAAGCACCAGAAUAAUUUAAUUUAAUUUUUCGAUUCAACUGGACUUCAUUUUUCAUUACUGUCAUUUUUAUUAGGGCAUUGAUCAUUGAAUUGCCAUUAAAUUAAAUAAAUAAAUCGUCAA